rnacentral:sRNA from 12 species
GGAUGUGCAGGAGCGCAUCCACCACAACACAAGGGGGUCGCCCGGGUCUCCCUGCCCGGGCGACUCUUCC